ACAUGAGGUAGGGAAAAUUUACUUAUUUACUUAUUCAAGUCUUUGUACCCCCUCAAUUUGAAGUUUUUUAAUCACUUAAUGGUGGAAUUCCACAUAUAUUUAAAAGUUAAAAGUUGGAAAUGUAACAUAUAAGUAAACAUCAGACAAAAACAGGGAACAAAAUGGAUCGCAAUACUAAUUAAUUAAAGUAGUAAAGUAGUGUAGUUCCGGGUGUAAAAUUCCAAUUUCACAUUAUAUUCGGUAUAAAUGGAAAAUGUAAACAAUAAGUAAACAUUGCAUCUAACUAAAGGUAGACAGAUAGAAACUGUGAUCAAGAUGGAUAGUAGACUUUGGUGGAUCCUUAUCAGUGCAUUUUUGUUUUAUGGACCUGGUCGUCGUUGCUUAUGUCCGAAUAAUCGCAAAACUUCUUAUAGCUGUUGUACACCUAUACCCAAGGGAUAAAAAUAAUUUCAAAUAUAAAAUGCAAAAAUUUAA